rfam:Pterocles gutturalis contig100932, whole genome shotgun sequence.
ACAAAGGCUCUUUUAAGAGCCACUCCAUACACAGCAAAAAGACCUG